rnacentral:misc_RNA from 1 species
CUGAGUUGCAAAACUCCCCAACCAUUGUGAACCUACCUAUCGUUGCUUCGGCGGGCGAGGCCCUCAGCGGCCUCGCGCCCACCCCCCCUCGGGGGGAGGCAGCCCGCCGGAGGCGUCCAAACUAUAGCAUACAUUGGCCUCUCUGAGUAGCUUAUAAAAUAAGUCA